GAUGAACGCUGGCGGCGUGCCUAAUACAUGCAAGUCGAGCGAACAGACGAGGAGCUUGCUCCUCUGACGUUAGCGGCGGACGGGUGAGUAACACGUGGAUAACCUACCUAUAAGACUGGGAUAACUUCGGGAAACCGGAGCUAAUACCGGAUAAUAUAUUGAACCGCAUGGUUCAAUAGUGAAAGACGGUUUUGCUGUCACUUAUAGAUGGAUCCGCGCCGCAUUAGCUAGUUGGUAAGGUAACGGCUUACCAAGGCAACGAUGCGUAGCCGACCUGAGGGGGGGAUCGGCCACACGGGAACGGAGACACGGUCCGAACUCCUACGGGAGGCAGCAGUAGGGAAUCUUCCGCAAGGGGCGAAAGCUUGACGGAGCAACGCCGGGUGAGGGAGGAAGGUCUUCGGAUCGUAAAACUCUGUUAUUGGGGAAGAACAAAUGUGUAAGUAACUAUGCACGUCUGAACGGUACCUAAGCAGAAGGCCAGGGCAAAUUACGU
rnacentral:rRNA from 1 species